GAAGAGUGGCGAACGGGUGAGUAACACGUGGGUAACCUGCCCAUCAGAAGGGGAUAACACUUGGAAACAGGUGCUAAUACCGUAUAACAAUCAAAACCGCAUGGUUUUGAUUUGAAAGGCGCUUUCGGGUGUCGCUGAUGGAUGGACCCGCGGUGCAUUAGCUAGUUGGUGAGGUAACGGCUCACCAAGGCCACGAUGCAUAGCCGACCUGAGAGGGUGAUCGGCCACAUUGGGACUGAGACACGGCCCAAACUCCUACGGGAGGCAGCAGUAGGGAAUCUUCGGCAAUGGACGAAAGUCUGACCGAGCAACGCCGCGUGAGUGAAGAAGGUUUUCGGAUCGUAAAACUCUGUUGUUAGAGAAGAACAAGGAUGAGAGUAACUGUUCAUCCCUUGACGGUAUCUAACCAGAAAGCCACGGCUAACUACGUGCCAGCAGCCGCGGUAAUACGUAGGUGGCAAGCGUUGUCCGGAUUUAUUGGGCGUAAAGCGAGCGCAGGCGGUUUCUUAAGUCUGAUGUGAAAGUCCCCGGCUCAACCGGGGAGGGUCAUUGGAAACUGGGAGACUUGAGUGCAGAAGAGGAGAGUGGAAUUCCAUGUGUAGCGGUGAAAUGCGUAGAUAUAUGGAGGAACACCAGUGGCGAAGGCGGCUCUCUGUCUGUAACUGACGCUGAGGCUCGAAAGCGUGGGGAGCAAACAGGAUUAGAUA
rnacentral:rRNA from 1 species